ACCACAUCACGUUCAAACACCAAUGACGAACGAAGUUAAGCAACGUAGAGCAUGGUUAGUACUUAGAUGGGUGACCGCUUGGGAAUACUAGGUGUUGUAAG